CGGCUGCGAGCGGCGGUGCUGGCCCCAAGAUCGAGGAGGUCGACUAAGUUAGUCGCUUUUAUAUAGUGAGAAAUACACUAUACACCAUUUUAUUCAGUCCUGGGUGCCAAUCAUAUCACCUGGGCUGGAAGUUUUGUUGUACUUUUUGGUCUGUAGCAUCACGAGACUUGUGUGUGUCGUGAACAAUGCAAUGAUGCAUGUUUUGGCUCAUUGUUGAUUUCAGCUUAAUGCUUAUUAUUUGGACUACCCUACCCGUGUGAUUUCAUUCUGAAUUCUUAGCUUAAAUUUGGUUGUUGCCAUUCAGU
rnacentral:lncRNA from 1 species